AACUAAAUGAGGCACCCCUGUUGCGAAUCCCACAAAGAGGGUGGCGUUUGGUUUGCAGCUAUUUUGCCACCUUUUUCUCCUUCUGGGCUGUCAGAUUUCUAAGGAGACCUGGAGGGAGAAAGCCUGAAGAACUUGUUAGUCCACAGCUGCCUCUCUGUCGAGGACGCUCACAAUAAAACUACCACUCAGGAGCCUUGGAGCUGUGUUUCCUGAACACGACAUGCCUACCUUGCUCCCCUUCCAACUUCCUGAGCUGGCUCUGCCAACCUGCCACUUGAUGGUAGUCUGAUACUCUUCUGUACGGACAGCCUACAAAUGUGCUCAAGAUAUCAGACAUCACAUAUUAUGUUUAUGCUUGUUUGUACUGGAGAACAUGGAAGAGCAUCGCAGGAGAAAUUGUGCCUCCUUCACCAUCCAGGCUGGGUUGGGGGUGGGGAAAGGGGUCGGAGUGGAGCUAUGUAGUGGUGGCGGCUCGCAUAAGGAGAAGGAAGUUCUGGCUGAGGUUCUGUGACUUGGUGCAGGAAAGAAAGCAGAAUAUGGAAGAUCUGUCUGACUCUGAAAAGUGGCACCUGGACCCAGCAGAUGGAAAGCUCCUGGGAAGCUCUCCAGUACUGAAGGGACAAAUCUUGGCAAAUCCAUUAGCUGUCUUUGUGACCUUGGAAGUUUAUCUUAAGCCUCUUUGUGCCUCAGCUUCUGUAAAAUAGAUGGAGUCUUGCUCUGUCGCCCAGGCUGGAGUGCAACCUCCACCUUCCAGGUUUAAGCAAUUGUCCUGCCUCAGCCUCCUGAGUAGCUAGGAUUACUGGUGCACCCUACCACACCCAACUAAUUUUUCUAUUAGUAGAGACAGGUUUCACCAUAUUGGUGAGGCUGGUCUCGAACUCCUGACCUGGUGAUCCACCAGCCUCGGCCUCCCAAAGUGCUGGGAUUACAGGCGUGAGCCACCACACCCCCCAAUAGCUAAUGGCUUUUAACACACUUAGAGCAAUGUGAGUAUAUGGAACUUGAACACAGAACAAAGCAAGUGAUACAUAAGUAUAUGUUAAGUAAAUAACAAUUUUAAAUUGUUACUGGUAAAUAAAUGUUGCUUUUUUUUCCUGAAACACUAAUGCUCCUUUUUUAAAAAAACAAAUAUAAAUAUUUGUAUGCUCAGCCAUCCAUAAAUAUUUUUGAAAGACUAAAAUAAUAAACCUUCAAACAAAAUUUCUUUGAAAACCGAAAUUGAGAAGUAGGGAAUAUUCCUUUCUACUUUCUACCAUUCUAAUUGUUGAAUAUAACUACCAAAAGAAAGUCUAUAUUUUGUAAUAAAACAACUGAAAAGACAAAAAAAAAGCACAAAUAUUUUUAUCUUCUGUGAACGCUAAUAUCAGGGUGUAUUCACUAUCAGAAGUUUCUCUAGAAAAUACUGUAGCAGAAAGGUAAAGAAUAUUCAAUAAUUCAUACAGCUGUAUUAAGGGGUCAACUGUAAAUUACUAAAAUGAUCCCAUAGCAAUGAACACAAAUGAGAAUAAUAACAAGUGACUAAGAACAACUUAAGUCAUUUUAAUAAUUUAAAUCAUAAAAAUAAUAUAAAUCGUUGAUGUUAAAAAUGUUAAUUCCUGACCCUUGUGUAAUGGAAUUUGGUAAUGUAAUUAGAAAAAAGCUAACAAAGUUGACGUGAAGUUAAACACAGCUGUCUUCUGUUGCGCCUUCCCCACUUGUAUUAACACUGCAUAGCUCAAGAGCCAGGGAAGCAGCCACACAGGAGCCAUUCGACUUGUCCUUGAUAGCAGCACUUUUGCCAAUCUACAGAAUGCCAAAUGAUAAAGACAAAACAAGAGAAGCAAUUAAGAGCAAGAGGCAGAAAGGAAUAGAAAGUCUUGAAAGGGUUUUGAAUAAUUCUGAUCUUCAGAACGUACAUCCAUCAUAUUUUCAAGUUUUUUGAUUAUAUCUUUAAAAACCUCCCAAAGGAAAGGUUGUUUUUCUGAAUGAUUUUAUAUACUUCACUAGACCAAUAUGAAGUAUAGAUUUUCCUUUUUUGCCUUGGCUUCUAGGAGGCUUGAAACUGA
ensembl:lncRNA